ensembl:lncRNA
CAAACUGCUAAAUAAACCCUGUGUUUUCCCUCUAACUUAAUCUGUUUUACAAACAGAGCAAACCAAUUAAGGGUGGAAAACAAGCCUCUCCUUAAUAAUGUGAAUCAAAUGUGGAAGUAAUUUGGGCCCUCAGAACUUCACCAGGCACCAGACCAAGCCCAGCUGAGUGGGAGAGGGGGAAUCGCCAGAUGACGUCUACUUACACAUCUGUGGCUGUGAGAGAGAGUGUGUGUGUGUGUGUGUGUGUGUGUGUGUGUGUGUGUGAGUGUGUGUGUGUGUGUGUGUGUGUGUGUGUUUGUGUAUGUGUGUGCUCUUGUUUUUGUGACAUAUCAGGACACAACUGUGUAUAAAGACAUGGGUAUGACACAGGUAUUAUAAGGAGAGGGUGAAUUAUGAGGACAUAACCCAUGUCCCCAUUUUUCAAAACGCUUAUAAAUCAUACAGAAUGAGUUUUUUUUUUGAGAAAGUCAAAAUGCACAAAGUUUCCUGUGAGGGUUAGGGUUAGGUGUAGGGUUGGUGUAAGGGCAUAGAAAAUACAGUUUUUACAGUAUAAAAGCCAUUACGCCUAUGGGAUGUACAAACUUAUCACAAAAACAAACGUGUGUGUGUGUGUGUGUUUGUGUGUGUGUUCAGAAACUCUAAGGGAAUGAAACUUUCUGCUCUUGCAUCACUCCUGAGCUGAACUGAGUGCACACCAGUGGUGGUCAUAAUGUACAUGCGUCAAUGGCAGUGGUGUAGCUCUGUGUACGUCAAUAGUGAAGGGAGACACUCCUCUGAGCCAAUGCUCAGGGGGUGGAUUUGUCAUCAGUCGUUAUCUCUCCCUUCCUCUCUGCAGCACAGUUCACUUUUCAAAGCACCUUGGGUAAGACCCCCUGUAUGGCCAGAUGAGGUUAACAGAAUCCCUGCCAGAAACAUGAAAAGAAACGGUCUGUUUGGAAUGAGCCUGCAUACUCGACUCUAUGAUAAUAAACACUGUGAGACCUACCACAGAAAGUCUUCCUGUUGAAAAUUUCAUACAGUACAUGCUGUAUAAGAGGAGGACAGAACUACCACAGGAUUAAAGCGUAAUGGCACACAUAUAUAUAUCUGCUUCAAAACCAGUGGGGACUCUGCUGUUUUGGGGUGAGUAUCUGAACCUUUAGAAUAUAAUUUUGGUUUAUUGUGCUUGAGACUUAAAAUCAGAGGCAAUCUCCAGAAGGAAAUGCUUGUAAAUGUGAAAAGACCGAAUAAAAACUCACUAUUAGCUCACUAUGUCAAUAUUUUUUCAAUUGUACUUGCACUUUAAUUGAUCAUUCAGAAUACUAUUCUGAAUACUAAUUCAAGUGCCAUAAUUUGUCGCUGGGGUAUAUUUGCAGCAAUAGCCAAAAAAACAUUGUAUGGGUCAAAAUUAUACAUUUUUCUUUUAUGCCAAAAUAAUUAUAUAUAUAUAUAUAUAUAUAUAUAUAUAUAUAUAUAUAUAUAUAUAUAUAUAUAUAUAUAUAUAUAUAUAUAUAUAUAUAUAUAUAUAUAUAUAUAUAUAUAUAUAAAAUAUCAUGUUCCAUGGAGAUAUUUUGUACAUUUCCUACUGCAAAUUUAUCAAAACUUAAUUUUUGAUUAGUAAUAUGCAUUGCUUAGAAUUAAUUUGGACAACUUCAAAGGCGAUUUUCUCAGUUAGUUAUUUAGAUUUUUUUUUUCACCCUCAAAUUCCAGAUAUUCAAAUAGUUGAAUCUUGACAAAAUAAUGUCUGAUCCUAAUAAACCAUACAUCAAUGGAAAGAUUAUUUAUUCAGCUUUCAGAUGAUGUAUAAAUUUCAUUUUCUAAAAAUGUAUACUUAAACCUGGUUUUGUGGUCCAGGUUCACAUAUGUCUUAAGUCACUGGGGUAUAGUUUUAGCAACAGCCAAAAAAACAUUGUAUGGGUCAAAAUGAUAGAUUUUUCUUUUAUUCCAGAGUCAUUAGGAUAUUAAGUAAAGAUCAUGUUGCAUGAAGAUAUUUUGUAAAUUUCCUAGCUCAAAUAUAUCUAUGUAUUAUAAAAUGUAUUAUCAUUAGUAAUAUGAGAAUUUUCUCAAUAUGUUUUAUUGUUUUUGUUUUUUUUGCACCCUAAGAUUCCAGAUUUUCAAUUAGUUGUAUCUCGGCCAAAUAUUUUUCUAUCCUAACAAACAUCAAUUGAAAGCUUAUUUAUUCAGCUUUAUGUAUAAAUCUUGUAUAAAUCUAUAAAAUUGACCCUUAUGACUGGUUUUGUGGUCCAAGGUCACAUAAUAUAAUAUAAUAUAAUAUAAUAUAAUAUAAUAUAAUAUAAUAUAAUAUAAUAUAAUAUAAUAUAAUAUAAUAUAAUAUAAUAUAAUAUAAUAUAAUAUAAUAUAAUGUAUAAACUUUAUCACCUUCAUGACCAUCAAGAAGAUUUGAUGGGAUAUCAUGUAAAUUAUACUGCUGACUUCUAAAACAAUGCUUUAAGUCACUAAAUGGUAUAUAGAUAAAUUGGAAAUUUUCUGAGGAAAUGACUGUUAUGAUCCAAAUGGUCAGGACAAAGGGAGGAUGUUGCAUCUCCUCCCUUCCUGAAUCUUUUUCCAUGCCUGUCAAUUUUCCCCAAACUGUUGGAAUUUGCUGUCUUAUAAUGACAAAUAAUGUUUCUGAAUACAUGCGUGAUUCAUGUAUGUAAUCCACUGUUUUUUGUUUUUUGUUCAUGAUAGUCUGUCUUUGUCUAAUGGUCUCAACUCUGCAGACCCUGGUACCAAACGAACAGAGACAAACUGUGGUAAAUUGCGUUAAGAUGGAUUUCUAUUUGCUCUAAAAUGUAUUUUUGUAAAAUACCCUCUUUAUCUCAUGAUAUUUAUUUUUCUUCUGUGCUCUAGAGACAGAUUGCAUCAACCAUGCCGACAGAAGUACAAACCACCACAUACACUAAAGCAGGUGAGUGUUACAGCUGUGUAAAUAUGAUAGACAUGUCUGCUAAUUUUAUUUUAUUUUUUAGUUCUGUGUCCAAAUAAACCCUACUGUGAGGUUGUUUUGGGUGUAUGGCUUCAAUUGAGUGCUUACUGAGCACCUCAACAAUAAACAGCAGACAAUCAGUGCUUUGAAAGGUUACUGCUACAAAGUUGUUGAUAAUGUUGAAAAGAAUAUUGUGUUGCAGUUCUAGAUUGUGGUGAGAGAUUUUGUUGACACUUUCGAUCACUCUUUCUUCUAAUAUUUACAUGCAUGGGAGAGUCUCUGGAACAAAGAAUAAACCAACUGCUUCAGUUUGAGAUUUGAAUAAACACAUGGGCACUGGGGAGAUUCAGACUGGCCUCAGCCAAAGACAGAAACAAAGUCUGCAUUGUUCAAAUAUAUGGAGUUUAUUAACACACAUGCCAUGCUACCUAUAAAACAUGUUUAUACAACACACACACACUAAUAUUACAAUUUAUGUGAUGUUUAUUACAAAACUAUUUAAAAUAUAUAGGAUGUUUGAUAUUGUAGAGCGAUUGACUUAAGCCAUUUUCAAUGCUCCAGUGCCAUAAAAUGAAGCUGUGAGGGAUUGAAGUGUGUUCAGUGGAUUGUACUUUAAUCAAACUGUUAGUUCAGCUAAAAAAAAGCGUAUUUCCAUAUAAAAAAGUGUUAAAAGUUUCAUUGAAAGUUGUGAGCUGGCAAAAAAUUAUAUGACAUGGGGCCUUUACAAAGUGUGUCCCAUUGACUUUAAGUCUAUCCCUUACAGACUCGUUUUCUUCAAUGUUACAUUCAAAAUUACUUCUAACUGGACUGGUCUAUAAGGCUAUAGGAAAUUUGUAUUUAUUAAACUCAUCUAAUCAAAGAAAAAAAAUUUUUUUUAAAUACUGCUCUAAAUGCUAUUUUGUAGACUUAAUCUACUGGUACUGGUUGAAGACAAUCUCACAUGGUCAACAUGAGAUCCACAAGCCUAGAAGUGUUACAUAAACUGUUCCAGUCCUCCCUCGGCCCUGGAUUCACUUCUUUCUCUUCCUUUGAAGUGAGUGAGCUGAGAGUUUGUUUCAAUCACAGCUGGGCUCGAACCAAAAGUGCAGCACUUCGAGCACAGAUGGCAAACUCUGAUUAUAUCGUUUCACGAACUCAAUCUGCUUAAUACGACCCAGUUUUUCUUAAAAGUGUCCAUUCCAUCAAGCCGCCCUGCUCUACCCUUAAAUGUUCACUUAUGUUUCCUGUUUGGAAACAGAUGCGAAAACGCAAAUAAAUCAGAACCACUGAGCCGACGAGGCAUCAACCUGAGAGAAAUGGAGUGUUUUUUUCAAGGGGAAGACCCGUUUGCAGAUGUGCAUCUGGUGUGCUCAGCCCAGAAAAGAUCCGCGCCUCGGGGGAAACAGCAAUCUUUAAACACAACAGUGCUUUACAAUAUCAAGAGUCAGGUCUAGAACUGAGAACCGGUUCUUAUGCAGCAACGGUUCCAUUUAAACUAAAAUACUGAAGGACUUUAGUGAAGCUUGGUUAUCUUUUCUCAAACAUGCAUUCUUUGUACUACUAAAAUAAUUAAACAUUUCCAUCCCUGUUGCUCAAAAAUAAAAACUUUCAUUCUAUAUUAAUUUUAACAUAUAGCCCACAUACAGGCUACAUAAAAAAAACUACACAUAUAUAUUUAUAUAAAAUUAUGAAAAAUGCAUUUUAUGAUGAACUUUUUGACCGUUGACGUUAGUAACGUGUUUUAAUGUCAUAAUUUCACUACCAACAACAAUGCAUCUUAGUAUUAUAGUUUUUAGACUUAAUAUUAUAGUUUUCUUUCAUGACUUAAAAGGUAUUACAUAAAAACAAUGAGGCAGGAAUGAUUGGUUAAUUAAUAAUAAUCAUGUGGUUUCAUUGAAUAACACUGUUAAAAUACAUACAUAUAAUAACAAAAUAAACAGUUUGCAUUAUUAUAAAUCUCUACAAAGGGCACCAAAGGCCUGAUAAUUGCUGUUGUUACACUUACAGGACGAUCAAAUCCUUGUUUAAUAUUGACAAACAUUUAAUUCAAAUUCCCACUUGAUUUAUUAAUUUUGGCGACCUUUUUGUGGUGGAAAUGAUGGAGCCUAAAUAAUUUCUUCAACAAAACUUUUGGACAUCACAACCCUUACCAAAAUUAACCAUGAAUUUAUUAUAGUAAAGCUGCUUAAUUUCAUUUUGUGUGAUUUCUGAAUGCAUGAGACUACAAAAUAAAUCAAUGUUAUUGAUAAAAUCAUAGCCAUAGGUAACUGUCUACCAUUUUAAUUUAUAAAUAAUACAAUUUAAUUACACUUUAUUUAUUUACUUUUAUGUUUUAUUAAAGUUCUAUUUGAACCCCCUUAUAUGUUUUUUGGUUUUUAGUUGUUGUUUUUUUUGUUUGUUUGUUUGCUUGUUUUGAAGGAGGGGGCACAAUAAUACCAUUCUGCUUAGGGCACCCAUUGGGCCAGCAGCGGCCCUGGUCCGAUUCCUGAACGAAGUGAAUUACUUAAGCGUAGCUGAAUACUUUAAUUAAUCUCAUACACUUUUUGUAAAUACACAUGUUUGUUUAAUAUUUAGCCUAAGUUAUGACAAAUUAAUGGACUGACUUUAUGGCGCGUCUAAAAAUCUGUGAAAAGUUAUUAAACAACUUUAGUUUUUUAUUGUGCUUUUUUCUGUUGAAGACAGAGAGAGAGAGAGAGAGAGAGAGAGAGAGAGAGAGAGAGAGAGAGAGAGAGAGAGGUGGAGCACUAUUACGUGGGAAAAUUAAAGCGUUCUCGGUCAGCAGCUUUCUGAACAUCUGGUAACCGUGAUUCCUCGUGUGGUGACGGCGCAUCACGCUUCCACCCGUCGCGUUUCCUGUUAUGCCUAACGUUCUUCGGUGCAAAAGUUCAGGAACAUUCAGCGCUGGGUUGAGAUCAGCUCGC